CUGGAGGUAUCAGAAGUGCGAAUGCUGACAUAAGUAACGAUAAAGCGGGUGAAAAGCCCGCUCGCCGGAAGACCAAGGGUUCCUGUCCAACGUUAAUCGGGGCAGGGUGAGUCGACCCCUAAGGCGAGGCCGAAAGGCGUAGUCGAUGGGAAACGGGUUAAUAUUCCCGUACUUGGUGUUACUGCGAAGGGGGGACGGAGAAGGCUAUGUUGGCCGGGCGACGGUUGUCCCGGUUUAAGCGUGUAGGUGUGUGUUCCAGGUAAAUCCGGUUCACUUUAACACUGAGGCGUGAUGACGAGGCACUACGGUGCUGAAGCAACAAAUGCCCUGCUUCCAGGAAAAGCCUCUAAGCAUCAGGUAACAUCAAAUCGUACCCCAAACCGACACAGGUGGUCAGGUAGAGAAUACCAAGGCGCUUGAGAGAACUCGGGUGAAGGAACUAGGCAAAAUGGUGCCGUAACUUCGGGAGAAGGCACGCUGACAUGUAGGUGAAGUGAUUUACUCAUGGAGCUGAAGUCAGUCGAAGAUACCAGCUGGCUGCAACUGUUUAUUAAAAACACAGCACUGUGCAAACACGAAAGUGGACGUAUACGGUGUGACGCCUGCCCGGUGCCGGAAGGUUAAUUGAUGGGGUCAGCGCAAGCGAAGCUCCUGAUCGAAGCCCCGGUAAACGGCGGCCGUAACUAUAACGGUCCUAAGGUAGCGAAAUUCCUUGUCGGGUAAGUUCCGACCUGCACGAAUGGCGUAAUGAUGGCCAGGCUGUCUCCACCCGAGACUCAGUGAAAUUGAACUCGCUGUGAAGAUGCAGUGUACCCGCGGCAAGACGGAAAGACCCCGUGAACCUUUACUAUAGCUUGACACUGAACAUUGAGCCUUGAUGUGUAGGAUAGGUGGGAGGCUUUGAAGUGUGGACGCCAGUCUGCAUGGAGCCGGCCUUGAAAUACCACCCUUUAAUGUUUGAUGUUCUAACGUGGACCCGUGAUCCGGGUUGCGGACAGUGUCUGGUGGGUAGUUUGACUGGGGCGGUCUCCUCCUAAAGAGUAACGGAGGAGCACGAAGGUUGGCUAAUCCUGGUCGGACAUCAGGAGGUUAGUGCAAUGGCAUAAGCCAGCUUGACUGCGAGCGUGACGGCGCGAGCAGGUGCGAAAGCAGGUCAUAGUGAUCCGGUGGUUCUGAAUGGAAGGGCCAUCGCUCAACGGAUAAAAGGUACUCCGGGGAUAACAGGCUGAUACCGCCCAAGAGUUCAUAUCGACGGCGGUGUUUGGCACCUCGAUGUCGGCUCAUCACAUCCUGGGGCUGAAGUAGGUCCCAAGGGUAUGGCUGUUCGCCAUUUAAAGUGGUACGCGAGCUGGGUUUAGAACGUCGUGAGACAGUUCGGUCCCUAUCUGCCGUGGGCGCUGGAGAACUGAGGGGGGCUGCUCCUAGUACGAGAGGACCGGAGUGGACGCAUCACUGGUGUUCGGGUUGUCAUGCCAAUGGCACUGCCCGGUAGCUAAAUGCGGAAGAGAUAAGUGCUGAAAGCAUCUAAGCACGAAACUUGCCCCGAG
rnacentral:rRNA from 1 species